rnacentral:rRNA from 1 species
UACGUAGGGGGCCAGCGUUGUCCGGAAUCAUUGGGCGUAAAGCGCGCGUAGGCGGCCAGAUAAGUCCGGUGUGAAAGUCAAAGGCUCAACCUUUGAAUGCCGCUGGAAACUGCCUGGCUUGAGUCCGGAAGGGGCGAGUGGAAUUCCUGGUGUAGCGGUGAAAUGCGUAGAUAUCGAGAGGAACACCUGCGGCGAAGGCGGGUUGCUGGGCCGACACUGACGCUGAUGCGCGAAAGCCAGGGGAGCGAACGGG